rnacentral:sRNA from 1 species
CGGGUUUACUCCUGGAUGUUACCGUUUCGUCCAGCCUAAGCCGGACGGCGUUUUGGUGUCUGAUUCGGUACGAAUCGGGAGCACCAUCUGCGUAGGCUUUUCGUUUAAGGCUUGCACCGCCUACGGUCUUGGAUAGCCCCCGCCAGGCAGGGACCCCAAUUUUUCAAGCGUGCCGGGCAAACCCGGCAC